rnacentral:rRNA from 1 species
AUACGUAGGUGGCAAGCGUUGUCCGGAAUUAUUGGGCGUAAAGCGCGUGCAGGCGGUCCUUUAAGUCUGAUGUGAAAGCCCACGGCUCAACCGUGGAGGGUCAUUGGAAACUGGGGGACUUGAGUGCAGAAGAGGAAAGCGGAAUUCCACGUGUAGCGGUGAAAUGCGUAGAGAUGUGGAGGAACACCAGUGGCGAAGGCGGCUUUCUGGUCUGUAACUGACGCUGAGGCGCGAAAGCGUGGGGAGCAAACAGGAUUAGAUACCCUGGUAGUCCACGCCGUAAACGAUGAGUGCUAAGUGUUAGAGGGUUUCCGCCCUUUAGUGCUGCAGCUAACGCAUUAAGCACUCCGCCUGGGGAGUACGGCCGCAAGGCUGAA